AUACGGAGGGGGCUAGCGUUGUUCGGAAUUACUGGGCGUAAAGGGCACGUAGGCGGGUUCCUAAGUCGGGGGUGAAAUCCCUGGGCUCAACCCCGGAACUGCCCUCGAUACUGGGAGUCUCGAGGACGGGAGAGGCGAGUGGAAUUCCGAGUGUAGAGGUGAAAUUCGUAGAUAUUCGGAGGAACACCAGUGGCGAAGGCGGCUCGCUGGCCCGAUCCUGACGCUGAGGUGCGAAAGCGUGGGGAGCAAACAGGAUUAGAAACCCUAGUAGUCC
rnacentral:rRNA from 1 species